UGGAAUGAGCUCAGCAAAAGUUGCAUUGGAGAGCGAUACAAAAGUGCUGGCUUUUGAACUGCACUUGCUUGCCACAAAGCAUCAGGUGCCCUCAAGAGUACUGGGAAGAAUGCCGACAAACUAAAAAAAUGGAGAGACUUUAACAAAUUAAGGAGCACUAGGA